rnacentral:rRNA from 1 species
CGCCUUAUACUCCUACGGGAGGCAGCAGUGGGGAAUAUUGCACAAUGGGCGCAAGCCUGAUGCAGCGACGCCGCGUGAGGGAUGACGGCCUUCGGGUUGUAAACCUCUUUCACCAGGGACGAAGCGCAAGUGACGGUACCUGGAGAAGAAGCACCGGCCAACUACGUGCCAGCAGCCGCGGUAAUACGUAGGGUGCGAGCGUUGUCCGGAAUUACUGGGCGUAAAGAGCUCGUAGGCGGUUUGUCGCGUCGUCUGUGAAAUUCUGCAACUCAAUUGUAGGCGUGCAGGCGAUACGGGCAGACUUGAGUACUACAGGGGAGACUGGAAUUCCUGGUGUAGCGGUGAAAUGCGCAGAUAUCAGGAGGAACACCGGUGGCGAAGGCGGGUCUCUGGGUAGUAACUGACGCUGAGGAGCGAAAGCGUGGGUAGCGAACAGGAUUAGAUACCCCGGUAGUCCACGUACCA